rnacentral:tRNA from 1 species
GGUGUGGUGGCUCAGAGGAAAAGCACUCGCCUAGCAUGCGUGGGGCACUGAGUUUGAUCCUCGCACCACAUAA